AAAGUCUAAACGACUCUCGGCAACGGAUAUCUCGGCUCUCGCAUCGAUGAAGAACGUAGCGAAAUGCGAUACUUGGUGUGAAUUGCAGAAUCCCGUGAACCAUCGAGUCUUUGAACGCAAGUUGCGCCCGAAGCCUUCUGGCUGAGGGCACGUCUGCCUGGGCGUC
rnacentral:rRNA from 1 species